rnacentral:lncRNA from 1 species
CUCGAUUCUCUGUGUUACAUUUUAUUCAAUUGUGUUACGUUUAUCAAUUAGAUAGCUUUAUCCUAUUCCCAUUUUACGGGUUCUUCAUCUUCAGGCUUAUUUUUAUCUUUAAAGAUGAUCUGGGCUGAAUUAGAUGGAUUUAAGCUAUCUCUGAAGUUAUCAUGUUUGUGAUACAAGUGGAUUCAAGCUUUGAGUCGAU